rnacentral:SRP_RNA from 1 species
CGGCGGGUCUCCCCGCAUUACAGUGUGGUGAACCUGGUCAGGUCCGGAAGGAAGCAGCCACAGCCAAUUAUUGUAAGUGCCGGGGGUUAGGCUCGCCAAUUU